GUGGGGAAUAUUGCGCAAUGGGGGAAACCCUGACGCAGCAACGCCGCGUGAAGGAUGAAGGUCUUCGGAUUGUAAACUUCUUUAAUAGGGGACGAAAACUGACGGUACCCUAAGAAAAAGUCACGGCUAACUACGUGCCAGCAGCCGCGGUAAUACGUAGGUGACAAGCGUUAUCCGGAUUUACUGGGUGUAAAGGGCGUGUAGGCGGGUUUGCAAGUCAGAUGUGAAAUCCCGGGGCUUAACUCCGGAGCUGCAUCUGAAACUGCAUAUCUUGAGUAUCGGAGAGGAAAGUGGAACUCCCAGUGUAGCGGUGAAAUGCGUAGAGAUUGGGAAGAACACCAGUGGCGAAGGCGGCUUUCUGGACGAUAACUGACGCUGAGGCGCGAAAGCGUGGGGAGCAAACAGG
rnacentral:rRNA from 1 species